AGACGGGUGAUAAAGAAAGAGGACGUUGAGUGAUUUGCCGAGCUGAGGGAGCAAAGUAGCAGCGAAUGGCCGUGGAGGCUGAGAUUGCCGCAGAAGAGCUCUCACGUGUAACAAUGGGGUUGGUAGAGGCAGGUAUCCUUUCACGUAUCUCAAUCGUUACUAUAUUAUUCGUUAAAUUCUAUUGUUUCUACCCUUUCUUGCAGUUUUAUUUUGUUGAUUUGAUAACUAGAUUCUCCUAGAUAACUCUUGUUUUGUUUCUUGUUUGUUUUGUAUCCUUUCCUCUAAUUAUUUUAAUUAUACUUAUGCUCAUAUGUAGUUUGACAUAGCUAGGAAUACAGUUCCUACAACACUACUAUUCAAAAUCAUUAGAGAUAAACCCGUUGCAGUUCCAGCCAUUUUCUUAGACAAAGUUCCAGCAACACUGUCAAUAAACAUAUAUUUGGUAACUGUGACAAUAUAUAUAUAUAUUUUGUUUAAGAUGGAACGUUUUUUUUUCAUGGCUGGUACUUGUUGUUGCGCCGGUUUCAAGACUAAUUUUGAGAACCACAAAAAUCUAUCUCAACAUCAAAUAAACGUUGAGGCACUUUACAUUCGGCUAAAGCCACAAAAUUGGGAUAUGGUCGAAGUCUAUGGUUUCAUAUAACGCAGGGUUUCGCCCAUAUUUGAAGGCCUGAGUACCUGUUUAAUAAUGUAUGUCUGUUGAGGAGUCAUUCUUCGUCAGAGCUGCAGAGAUCGAGGACCAUC
rnacentral:lncRNA from 1 species